rnacentral:tRNA from 1 species
UGGGGUAUAGCUCAGUGGUAGAACACAUGUCUUUGCAUGUGUGAGAUCUUGGGUUCAAUCCCCAGUACUACAA